rnacentral:rRNA from 1 species
UACGGAGGGUGCAAACGUUGCUCGGAAUCAUUGGGCGUAAAGCGCACGUAGGCGGCCUGUUAAGUCGGGUGUGAAAGCCCUGGGCUCAACCCAGGAAGUGCACUCGAAACUGGCAGGCUUGAAUAUGGAAGAGGGUCGCGGAAUUCCCGGUGUAGAGGUGAAAUUCGUAGAUAUCGGGAGGAACACCAGUGGCGAAGGCGGCGACCUGGGCCAAUAUUGACGCUGAGGUGCGAAAGCCAGGGGAGCAAACGGG